rnacentral:piRNA from 1 species
AUGUGUUUCAAUAAUUGUUCUGGUUCC